rnacentral:rRNA from 1 species
GAUGAACGCUGGCGGCGUGCCUAAUACAUGCAAGUCGAGCGAACAGACGAGGAGCUUGCUCCUCUGACGUUAUCGGCGGACGGGUGAGUAACACGUGGAUAACCUACCUCUAAGACUGGGAUACCUUCGGGAAACCGGAGCUAAUACCGGAUAACAUGUUGAACCGCAUGGUUCACCAGUGAAAGACGGUCUUGCUGUCACUUAUAGAUGGAUCCGCGCCGCAUUAGCUAGUUGGUAAGGUAACGGCUUACCAAGGCAACGAUGCGUAGCCGACCUGAGAGGGAGAUCGGCCACACUGGAACUGAGACACGUCCCAGACUCCUACGGGGGGCAGCAGUAGGGAAUCUUCCGCAAUGGGCGAAAGCCUAACGGAGCAACGCCGCGUGAGUGAAGAAGGUCUUCGGAUCGUAAAACUCUGUUAUUAGGGAAGAACAAAUGUGUAAGUAACUAUGCACGUCUUGACGGUACCUAAUCAGAAAGCCACGGCUAACUACGUG